AUUCUAAUAAAAUUUAAACAUGAAUCCAAACAUAACAUGAACCAUAUGAUUUUCCAAAUUAUCCAAAAAUGAAGGGUGGCUCUGAUACCAAUUGUUAGGAUUAUGGUUCCAACUAAAUAUAACAAUCUUCAUAUUGAAUAAUCCGGAAUUAAACUACAUGAGCGGAAGCUAACCUGAAUCCAUAUUCGGAAAGUGUUGAACCUCCUUUGAUAAUUGUCCUUGAGUCCUUUUGAACCUCUUGAUCCUUUCUUCAAGAAUGUCUUGAAGUUUGUAUGUUACCACAAGAAUGAAUCCACAAGGUUUAACUAUAUGUGAAUUGUUACACAAUAAUAACAAUAUGACAAUGAACAAAUUUGGUAUAUGGCUUUCCACACUAUUUGCAAGAUAACAAUGGAGUAUUAUGGCUCUUGAUUCAAUGGGAGGAAUAAGAGUCUUGUCUUGCACUAAUGUGGGAACCAUAACCCCCACUUUAUAACACAAGAGUUACAUAACCCAAGAGUCACAAGAG
rnacentral:lncRNA from 1 species